GAGUAAUGUCUGGGAAACUGCCUGAUGGAGGGGGAUAACUACUGGAAACGGUAGCUAAUACCGCAUAACGUCGCAAGACCAAAGAGGGGGACCUUCGGGCCUCUUGCCAUCGGAUGUGCCCAGAUGGGAUUAGCUAGUAGGUGGGGUAACGGCUCACCUAGGCGACGAUCCCUAGCUGGUCUGAGAGGAUGACCAGCCACACUGGAACUGAGACACGGUCCAGACUCCUACGGGAGGCAGCAGUGGGGAAUAUUGCACAAUGGGCGCAAGCCUGAUGCAGCCAUGCCGCGUGUAUGAAGAAGGCCUUCGGGUUGUAAAGUACUUUCAGCGGGGAGGAAGGGAGUAAAGUUAAUACCUUUGCUCAUUGACGUUACCCGCAGAAGAAGCACCGGCUAACUCCGUGCCAGCAGCCGCGGUAAUACGGAGGGUGCAAGCGUUAAUCGGAAUUACUGGGCGUAAAGCGCACGCAGGCGGUUUGUUAAGUCAGAUGUGAAAUCCCCGGGCUCAACCUGGGAACUGCAUCUGAUACUGGCAAGCUUGAGUCUCGUAGAGGGGGGUAGAAUUCCAGGUGUAGCGGUGAAAUGC
rnacentral:rRNA from 1 species